rnacentral:tRNA from 1 species
GCCGGGAUGGCGGAAUGGCAGACGCGCAUGGUUAAGGACCAUGUGAGCUAACGCUUGUGGGGGUUCAAGUCCCCCUCCCGGCA